rnacentral:tRNA from 1 species
GAGAGUCUAGCUCGGUGGUAGAGCACGUGCUUAGCAGGCAUGAGGUCUUGGGUUCAAUCCCCGGUACCUCCA